UACGUAGGUGGCGAGCGUUGUCCGGAUUUACUGGGCGUAAAGCGUGCGCAGGCGGUUUUGUAAGCCAGAUGUGAAAGCCCCGGGCUUAACCUGGGAACUGCAUUGGUGACUGCAUUGCUGGAGUAUGGCAGAGGGGGGUGGAAUUCCACGUGUAGCAGUGAAAUGCGUAGAGAUGUGGAGGAACACCGAUGGCGAAGGCAGCCCCCUGGGCCAAUACUGACGCUCAUGCACGAAAGCGUGGGGAGCAAACAGG
rnacentral:rRNA from 1 species